GAGCGAACGCUGGCGGCAGGCCUAACACAUGCAAUUCGAACGAACUCUUCGGAGUUAGUGGCGUACGGGUGAGUAACACGUGGGAACGUGCCUUUUGGUUCGGAAUAACUCAGGUAAACUUGUGCUAAUACCGAAUGUGCCCUUCGGGGGAAAGAUUUAUCGCCAUUAGAGCGGCCCGCGUCUGAUUAGCUAGUUGGUGAGGUAACGGCUCACCAAGGCGACGAUCAGUAGCUGGUCUGUGAGGAUGACCAGCCACACUGGGACUGAGACACGGCCCAGACUCCUACGGGACGGAGCAGUGGGGAAUCUUGCGCAAUGAGCGAAAGCCUGACGCAGCCAUGCCGCGUGAAUGAUGAAGGUCUUAGGAUUGUAAAAUUCUUUCACCGGAGACGAUAAUGACGGUACCCGGAGAAGAAGCCCCGGCUAACUUCGUG
rnacentral:rRNA from 1 species